rnacentral:rRNA from 1 species
AGUGAACGCUGGCGGUAGGCCUAACACAUGCAAGUCGAACGGCAGCACAGUAAGAGCUUGCUCUUACGGGUGGCGAGUGGCGGACGGGUGAGGAAUACAUCGGAAUCUACUUUUUCGUGGGGGAUAACGUAGGGAAACUGACGAUAAUACCGCAUACGACCUACGGGUGAAAGCAGUGGAUCUUCGGACCUUUCGCGAUUGAAUGAGCCGAUGUCGGAUUAGCUAGUUGGCUGGGUAAAGGCACACCAAGGCGACGAUCCGUAGCUGGUCUGAGAGGAUGAUCAGCCACACUGGAACUGAGACACGGUCCAGACUCCUACGGGAGGCAGCAGUGGGGAAUAUUGGACAAUGGGCGCAAGCCUGAUCCAGCCAUACCGCGUGGGUGAAGAAGGCCUUCGGGUUGUAAAGCCCUUUUGUUGGGAAAGAAAAGCAGCAGGUUAAUACCCCGCUGUUCUGACGGUACCCAAAGAAUAAGCACCGGCUAACUUCGUG